AUUGAACGCUGGCGGCAUGCCUUACACAUGCAAGUCGAACGGCAGCACGGGUGCUUGCACCUGGUGCGAGUGGCGGAACGGGUGAGUAAUACAUCGGAAUGUACCUUGUAGUGGGGGAUAGCUCGGCGAAAGCCGGAUUAAUACCGCAUACGCUCUGAGGAGGAAAGCGGGGGACCUUCGGGCCUCGUGCUACAAGAGCAGCCGAUGUCAGAUUAGCUUGUUGGUGAGGUAAAGCUCACCAAGGCGACGAUCUGUAGCUGGUCUGACGAGGACGACCAGCCACACUGGGACUGAGACACGGCCCAGACUCCUACGGGAGGCAGCAGUGGGGAAUUUUUGGACAAUGGGCGAAAGCCUGAUCCAGCAAUGCCG
rnacentral:rRNA from 1 species